rnacentral:rRNA from 1 species
GACGAACGCUGGCGGCGUGCUUAACACAUGCAAGUCGAACGGAAAGGCCCUGCUUUUGUGGGCUGCUCGAGUGGCGAACGGGUGAGUAACACGUGAGUAACCUGCCCUUGACUUUGGGAUAACUCCAGGAAACUGGGGCUAAUACCGGAUAGGAGCUCCUGCUGCAUGGUGGGGGUUGGAAAGUUUCGGCGGGUGGGGCUGGACGGGGGGCUUAUCAGCUUGUUGGUGGGGUAGUGGCUUACCAAGGCUUUGACGGGUAGCCGGCCUGGGAGGGUGACCGGCCACAUUGGGACUAAGGUACGGCCCAGAGUGCAACGGGAGGCAGCGGUGGGAAAUAUUGCACAAUGGGCGGAAGCCUGGUACAACGGCGCCGCGUGCGGAAUGACGGCCUUCGGGGUAUAAACCGCUUUCGCCUGUGACGAAGCGUGGGUGACGGUAAUGGAUAAAGAAGCACCGGCUAACUACGUG